GAUGAACGCUGGCGGCGUGCCUAAUACAUGCAAGUCGAGCGAACAGACGAGGAGCUUGCUCCUCUGACGUUAGCGGCGGACGGGUGAGUAACACGUGGAUAACCUACCUAUAAGACUGGGAUAACUUCGGGAAACCGGAGCUAAUACCGGAUAAUAUAUUGAACCGCAUGGUUCAAUAGUGAAAGACGGUUUUGCUGUCACUUAUAGAUGGAUCCGCGCCGCAUUAGCUAGUUGGUAAGGUAACGGCUUACCAAGGCAACGAUGCGUAGCCGACCUGAGAGGGUGAUCGGCGACACUGGAACUGAAACACGGUCCAGACUCCUACGGGAGGCAGCAGUAGGGAAUCUUCCGCAAUGGGCGAAAGCUUGACGGAGCAACGCCGCGUGAGUGAUGAAGGUCUUCGGAUCGUAAAACUCUGUUAUUAGGGAAGAACAAAUGUGUAAGUAACUAUGCACGUCUUGACGGUACCUAAUCAGAAAGCAACGGCUAACUACGUG
rnacentral:rRNA from 1 species